rnacentral:lncRNA from 1 species
CCUCUCCGGCAACCUCCAGCCUCACCUCUCGCGACCACCAGCCGACGUGAAACCUUGUCUUGUUGAUUCCCUCUAUCUUCAAGAUCCCAGAAGCCUCCACCAUACAAGAUGGUGAUUGGGAGAUUUUCCUGGGUUUUCUCCGACCGUUCUCCGAUGUAUUUUGGUCCGAUGGUAGUACGAACGCCAUUAUUGAUGAUUUCACAGCCCGAUUUCUUACCUCUCACUGGUUUCUUACGAAACCCUAAUUUCUACCUAGACCUCUUAAAUCCCUGUCUUUCUAACGAUUUUUAACUUACUCUUUUGUGAUUUAUACUACUCUCUACUCGAUCUUUAUGAUUGCUCAAGUUUUUAAUAUUUUGUUCUUCUUUUUAAAACUAGGGUUUCUGAACCUCUUUCGAAAUAACUGUAUCUUCUGAUUUUUUUCUAGUACUAUAUGUUUGUGUUUGUAUUUCUGCUUGUUUGUGUGAUCUUCUGGGUUAUUCCCCAAUUUCUAUACUUUAAUUUUGUUCUAACGUUCCACUGAUUCUGUGAUUUUUUACUUAGGG